rnacentral:misc_RNA from 1 species
GUUCUCAUUACUUUGAGUACGUCUAAAGCCCGACAUCAGCUCGGUUAUACGGCUACAUCGCUCUGUGUAUAGGUAUGGAAAGGUAUAGAUGGGUAGGUAGGUAGGUAGGUAGAUAUCGCCGAGUCGGGAGGAGUUACGCCGUCCGGGGUGGGAUUAAAAAUUGGGAGAAUGAACGCACGUUGGAUACCGACUACGUCGGACGUCGCGACGAUGCUCGCUUUGUGGAGCAGGCAGGGGCAGGCAGGCAGGCAGACCCGAGGAAUUCAACGAAAGCCGCUGCGAGAACACUUUUCGAGACGAAAGAGCGAAAAAUUUUUCGCGAGUUCAUUCGGGAUACCGAGUAAAGUUAAAUUUGGUCUUCGCGGAUAUACGUGUAACAAAGAGGAGAACAAGUAGGCGUAUACGUCGGUCUGGCGCGUUCCCUAGAUUCUAUAUUUAAAGAACUCGGAUGGAUCCGCCGAC